UGACUCUUUCUUUCCGACUAAAAGAGCUUUACAACCCGAAGGCCUUCUUCACUCACGCGGCAUGGCUGGAUCAGGCUUUCGCCCAUUGUCCAAAAUUCCCCACUGCUGCCUCCCGUAGGAGUCUGGGCCGUGUCUCANUCCCAGUGUGGCUGGUCGUCCUCUCANACCAGCUACUGAUCGNCGCCUUGGUAAGCCUUUACCCCACCAACUANCUAAUCANACAUCAGCCGCUCCUUUAGCGCAAGGUCUCUUCGAUCCCCUGCUUUCCU
rnacentral:rRNA from 1 species